rnacentral:miRNA from 2 species
UAGGUAAUCAACAAUCCAGGAC